UUACAAACCAACAAACAGAGGGAAAGCGAUGCUGGGCUGCUGUGUCAAGUCGAGGGCAGGGCGAACCGGGCUUGAACCCCGCGCAGCGACCCGGCCAUCCACCCCGCCGGAGGUGAGGCUGUGGGAGUUUAGCGGGCAGUUUGGCACCUCUCAGGGUGAACGCCCACCCUCUGAGGCCGGGCUGCCUGCCACCUGUCUGGACCUCCACGGUCCUGCAGCCCUGACGUGACCUCCAGGGUGGGGGGGAGGAUUCCAGAGGAACUCUGUGAAGUACGUGUACACGAUGGGGAUGGAGCCGCCGAUUCUGCAACGAGAGCCCAAAGACGGCGUUCAAAGCGGUCGUCAUCCGGUCAAACCGGAGCAGAACCUGAAGAAGAGGAAGAAGCCGUAGCUCUGAGCGAAGCAGGACAGGAAGGAGAAGACCAGGUCGAUGCUCAGGACGUAGAUCAGGCACUUUCUGCGGCCCAUCUUGUCACACAGACCCCCCCACACCAGGGCGCCCACCAUCAUGGCCACGUACACCAGCAGGCCUGGCAACAAAGUACGUAGAGUUUCUCACACAACAUGCAUCAUGACACAGGCAGCUUAAUAGCAAUACCAAAUAAACAAUAAUA